UACGAACCGUCCAAACGUUAUUCGGAAUCACUGGGCUUAAAGAGUCUGUAGGCGGCUGAGCAAGUCGGGUGUGAAAUCCCACGGCUUAACCGUGGAACUGCGCCCUAAACUACUCAGCUUGAGGGAGCUAGAGGUAAGCGGAACUGAUGGUGGAGCGGUGAAAUGCGUAGAUAUCUGGAGGAACACCGGUGGCGAAGGCGGCAUCCUGGACCAACACUGACGCUGAGUGAGCGAAAGCCAGGGGAGCAAACGGG
rnacentral:rRNA from 1 species